GAUGAACGCUAGCGGGAGGCUUAAUACAUGCAAGUCGAGCGGGAUUCUCCUUCGGGAGAUGAGAGCGGCGCACGGGUGAGUAACGCGUACGUAACCUGCCUUACAGAGGGGAAUAGCCCUGGGAAACUGGGGAUUAAUACCUCAUAGUAUGUGAGAAUCGCAUGGUUUUCACAUUAAAGUUCCACGGUAAAAGAUGAGCAUGCGUCCCAUUAGCUAGAUGGUAAGGUAACGGCUUACCAUGGCGACGAUGGGUAGGGGUCCUGAGAGGGAGAUCCCCCACACUGGUACUGAGACACGGACCAGACUCCUACGGGAGGCAGCAGUGGGGAAUUUUGGACAAUGGACGCAAGUCUGAUCCAGCCAUUCCGCGUGCAGGAUGAAGGCCCUCGGGUUGUAAACUGCUUUUGUACGGAACGAAAAGGUUUCUAUUAAUACUAGGAGCUCAUGACGGUACCGUAAGAAUAAGCACCGGCUAACUACGUG
rnacentral:rRNA from 1 species